rnacentral:tRNA from 1 species
AGUAAGGUGGUCCGAUAAUAGGUAUAUAAACUGUAAAAUUAUUUAUAGAAAUUUAAUUCUCCUUACUA